AACGAACGCUGGCGGCAGGCUUAACACAUGCAAGUCGAACGCAUCCUUCGGGGUGAGUGGCAGACGGGUGAGUAACGCGUGGGAACGUGCCCUUCAGUUCGGGAUAACCCAGGGAAACUUGGGCUAAUACCGGAUACGUGCGAGAGCAGAAAGAUUUAUCGCUGAAGGAUCGGCCCGCGUCUGAUUAGCUAGUUGGUGGGGUAAUGGCCCACCAAGGCGACGAUCAGUAGCUGGUCUGAGAGGAUGAUCAGCCACAUUGGGACUGAGACGCGGCCCAAACUCCUACGGGAGGCAGCAUUGGGGAAUAUUGGACAAUGGGCGCAAGCCUGAUCCAGCCAUGCCGCGUGAGUGAUGAAGGCCUUAGGGUUGUAAAGCUCUUUCGUCCGGGACGAUAAUGACGGUACCGGAAGAAGAAGCCCCGGCUAACUUCGUGCCAGCCGCCGCUGUAA
rnacentral:rRNA from 1 species